rnacentral:tRNA from 1 species
GCAGCAAUGGUGUAGUGGUAGCACAUGAGAUUGCAAAUCUUAGGGUCCGCAGUUCGAACCUGCGUUGUUGCU